AUUAUAAAAUAGAAAAUGGAAAUAAGAUAUAUGUCAAAGAGACAACAACCCAACUUAGGAGAAGACAAUAGCCUAAGGGCACCAAUGGAUCUUCAACACAGUGAGAAAAUCCCGCACCCGGAAGUGGUCUUCAGCUCAUAAAUAUGUAUCAGAUAUAAGAAUGCAAUACAGCUCUCAGACGCAUUAAUAAAUUUUUAAAAAAAAGGAAGGAUACUACUGAUUUUUGUAGUCAUUGCUAAACAGAAG
rnacentral:lncRNA from 1 species